rnacentral:lncRNA from 1 species
AUGGAAAGAAAAGGCUUUACUAGUUCUACAAGCACCACUGUAAUCGUUGAGGCCCCAGGAGAAAGAGCUGAAGAAGCGCUCAAACAAGGUUCCAUAUUUUCUCUCUUUCUAUGUACCAUAUAUAAUGCGUGUUAUGCUAAGUAUGGAAUUUAUGUUUUUACCCAAAGUCUGCUUAUUGAAAAAGUCUUUUCAUUUUUAUCUUUGCCUUGCCUGCAUAUAAGAUGGGUCUCCAAAUGAAGCUGUAAAACUGCUCAAGGAGAAGCAUGAAAAAGAAUUUGGGGCAUCAGGGAAAAGCACUGAGCAAGAGCUCCCACAAAACAAAAAAAGUGAGGCCGCAAAUACCAAUGGAACCAACGAGAAGCCCGUGAGCAUUCAUAGGAAUCCAGUUUAAAAAGCAACAAAUAGCCACCAUGUUGGGGUUUCCGAGUGCAACAACCGUGCUCAAGGGACAGGCUGCGACAUUGAAGACAAUGAGGUUAAUGCAGAAGAUAGCGAGUUUGUUGGGGUUUUCAAUUUUGGCAACGAGUCCAAAAAGCCAAAUUAAUUUCAACAUUUCUCAUCUGUCCUUUGUGUGCUUAGUGUUGCUCUGCUUUGCUAUGUACAAAAUAAAUUGUGGUUGUGUUACGUGUAUUGUUAUUUGCUUGUUUUGGUUGGUUGGAGUGUCUCUUGCUAUGAGUGACGUAUAUUUAUUUUACUUUUUGGUUUGUAAAAUAACUUCCUCUAUAAGAAGGACAACCUUUCAUAUUGCUUUUUUUGGAGGAUUGAUGAGUUUUUAUGGUUGUCAAAGUUUGAAUUUGAUCAUUCGUUCUUGUUGCUAGUCUUCUUAAAUUGCUGUCUAGAAAAAACUAUUUGAAAGCCUGUAUUGUGGUCAUCGUUCUUUUUGCUAAUCUUGUUAAUAUUCUUAAAUUUGAUAUUUUGUUCUUUUGUUUUUGGCAUGGCCGGGAGUUGGCCAAGAGACUGGUGUGUUUCUUUGUGAGCGUGAUACUAUUGGCAGUGAAAACACACUCCAACAGACUGA